GCCGGGAUAGCUCAGUUGGUAGAGCAGUGGACUGAAAAUCCACGUGUCACGAGUUCAAAUCUCGUUCCUGGCA
rfam:Oscillatoriales cyanobacterium CG2_30_44_21 cg2_3.0_scaffold_8198_c, whole genome shotgun sequence.